UACGAAGGGGGCUAGCGUUGCUCGGAAUUACUGGGCGUAAAGGGCGCGUAGGCGGAUAUCUAAGUCGGGGGUGAAAGCCCAGGGCUCAACCCUGGAAUUGCCUUCGAUACUGGAUAUCUUGAGUACGGGAGAGGUGAGUGGAACUCCGAGUGUAGAGGUGAAAUUCGUAGAUAUUCGGAAGAACACCAGUGGCGAAGGCGGCUAUCUGGACGGUUUCUGACACUAAGACUCGAAAGCGUUGGGGAGCAACAGG
rnacentral:rRNA from 1 species